UUCUGACCUCAGUAUGAUACUGAUGUGUUUUUCUUCCGAUACCACUUCGUUCUCAAUGUGUGUAUUGCAGUGCGUUUAGUGUAGACAGCUUGUGUGUUUAACGGAUCUUAUACUACUGGCAUUCUUCUAGGGUCCGCAAUAUAAGAUAAAUGACAAAGAAAUUCAGCGAUGGUACCGUAUACGAGAGUGUUAAGAAAGAACAGGACGGAAGCAAAGAUGAGAGUUCUCACCCACCGUCGGUAAAUAGUGUUUGCUGUCCGUGUCGACUCAUUCUUGCUGGUAUGGGCUUCUGGUACGGGGUUCUCUUUUAUGGACUCAGCACAAACAUGAGUGUCGCCAUCGUGUGUAUGGCUAAACCGCCUGAUGGAAACUCCUCUGGGUAUCAGAUUUUGACAAAUAUUAGCAUUGCAAACAAUGACCUGGCAUCUUGUGAGUCUACAUAUGACGAGCAGUUAUCGGCAGAGACGGCGGAGUUUAAAUGGAGUAAAAAGACCCAGUCCCUGAUUCUGUCCGGUUUCUUUUACGGCUUCAUGGUGACGCAGGUCCCCGGCGGCUGGAUGGCCAGUCGGUUUGGCGGCAAGAUAGUGAUUGGCUUGUCAAUGGCUCUAGCGUCCCUGUGCACUCUGCUGAUACCAGUACUAGCAAGGGCAAGCCCAUAUGCUGUUGUUUUCGACAGAAUCGUGAUUGGAAUUUCAAGUGGCAUUGCUGUACCAGGAUGGUAUGCAUUAACCGGAGCGUGGGCGCUGCCAAAUGAAAGAACUCGCUUUAUCUGUACACUAUGGAUAGGACAAACCAUAGGAUCGGUUGCAGGAAAUGCUAUUUCAGGUUUUCUUUGUGUACACGGAUUCGACAAUGGGUGGGCGUCGAUAUUUUAUCUUUACGGAGCCUUUGGAGUUCUAUUUGUGACGGCCUGGAGCUUACUUGUUUUCGACAGUCCCGAGCGUCAUCCCCGGAUAAGCCAAAUGGAAUAUGUGCUCGUCAGAUCUCAUUUGACACAAACGACGGAAUGUGCCGUGUCCAAGACCAAGAAAAUGGCCAUUCCCUGGCGGGAUAUUUGCACGUACACUCCGGCUAUUGCUGUAGUGGUCAUGCAUGCCUGUGAUACAUGCACAUUUUACCUAAUACUUACAUGCUUGCCACAGUAUCUCAAGGAGGUUCUCAAAUUCGAUAUUCAGUCUAAUGGAAUGUACUCUGCCUUGCCUUGGAUCUCUAUGCUGGUCGGAGUUAUUCUCGCCGGUAUCGGAGCAGACAGUUUUCGCGCGAAAGGCUGCUUUUCGGUAACGAUGGUGCGAAAACUCUUUCAGGUCUCAGCUUCGAUCGGCUUGGCAGUGUUUCUCUGUGUUGUCGGAUUUCUCACGUGUGACCAACGAGGCCUGGUGAUCGCUUGUCUGUGUGCGUGUACCAUGCUGGAAGGCCUUGGAUUUGGCGCCGGAUAUACGUGCAACUGGGUCGACAUGUCGCCAAGUUGAUUUGCUGCGUGCUGUUAAUAUGACCAUCAUCUUCAUUCACCACUGGAGAUUCAGGGCGUAUAGAAAUACAAGAAACAAGUGAUACAUCUGUUAAAGCAGCUCCACAGACAGCUUGGACAACAUCAGAAAAUACUUCUGGAAUUCUUGAAAGUCCAUCGGCGUCAACAUUUAACUUGCCUGACCUGUAACGCAAUGAAAAGGUGAAAUAUACUAAAACCGCAACCCAACGGUGACUAGCUGCAUCCAACUUUGCUGUAGUGAGAAUAUAUGUCAAGGGAUUAUUAUCAGUCACUACUUCAAAAGUAUUACCAGAUAAUCAUUGAACUUUUCUGUUACAGCCCAUUUCAAAGCAAGAAAUUCAAGUUUGUGCGCAGGAUAUCGCAACUCAGUUGACUUCAAACUUCGACUAGCGUAGGCUAUAACACGCUCUGUACCAUCAUUUUGUUGUUCCAUUCCCAAGUUCCAAACUACAGGACUAUUUCUGCGCCGUUUACUUUUCUUGCCGUUUUACUGUAACCUUUAAGCAAUGCAUUUAAAGGAUUAACCAUCGAGGCGAAGUAAGGAACAAACCUUCGGUAAUACCCUGCAAACCCUAGAAAUUGCCUCAACUCUUUCACAUUCCUUGGAAUCGGCCACUUUUCAACAACUGCAGUCUUCUCUGGAUCAGUAUGAACUCCUUCGGCAGAAAUGGUGUGUCCUAAAUAAGAAAUUUUAGACAUGAAAAGUUCACAUUUGGAGGGUUUUAACUUUAAUCCAUUGUCUGAUAACCUUGAUAAUACUGCCUCCAAACACUUUACAUGCUCAUCAAAGUUCCUGGAAAAAAUCAGAAUAUCAUCUUUGAAAACUAAACAUUCACUAAGGUGUAAUUAUCCCAUAGUUUUCUCGCAAAGACGCUGGAAUGUCGCAAAUGCAUUGGUCAAACCAAACCAUUCUAUUCCACUCGUAAAAUCCAAGAUUUCCUACAAAAAAAGCUGUGUACUGCUUGCUAUCUUCUUCCAUUUCAACAUUCCAGUACCCAGAUCUCAAAUCAAGUUUUGAAAACAUGGUAGAACCUACUCAUGUAUCAACUAUAUCAUCAAAUCUUGGUAACAUAUAAGCAUCUUUCCUAGUUUUAGAGUUCAAAAAGCGCCAAUCUAUGCAAAAUCAUAGACUACCAUCUUUCUUUCUAAAUAAGACCACAUUGCUUGAAUAAGGACUAUCAGAUUCCUUUAUGACCCCUGCCUCCAACAUCUCCUUAACAUGCAUACGAACCUCUUCAUACAUUCCAGGGGAUAUCUUCCUGUACGGCUGCUUGAAUAACUUAGCAUCUUCAAGCACAAUCUUAUGCUUAAGAAGCUUAGCGCAACCAAUGCCUGUUGGCCCAGUGGAAAACACAUGUUUCCAGUUACCAAAUACUUCAUGGACUCUAAGGAGUUGCUCUGGUGUCAAAUUAUCAGAGUUGAUUUUAACACCAAGAUCUGCUCCUAUUUCUUCAUGAGUCGGGGAACUAGGUUACUCAGAGGCCAAAUUGUCAACAACGUCUACUUCGGUUAUCUGGCAAACUGUUACUUUAGGUUUAAUGAGUAUAGAUAUAUUACAUACAGCAAUUCUAGCAAAUGACCCUGACUGCUUCAUCUUAACAAGCCGUGGACAGACAGUAUAGCCAGGAUUACCAUAGUUUGGAUUUUCUGUCACUACUUUUGUUAUCUUGGGAUCAACAUUUCUUGCAACACAUGUUAGAGUUGAAGUUUGUUUAGAUGCUAAUCUCACAGACUUUUUACCAUUCAACUUAACAUCAUAUGAAGUGUAUCUCAAACUGUCUACUACCAACUGCCACGCCUCGGGUAAUUCAUCAGAUGAGCAAUCACGGAACAACCGAAUCACAUUUGUACCAAGAAUAAUGGGACAAGAAUAACUUGUUAUCGGAGACUACCAACAAUGGUACAUACAAAGGAGCACUCUGAAAAUCAACGGAUAAAGUACAUUCAAUGUAACCUAAAUAGUCAAUUUUGCACCAUUUGCUGCCGAAAUUUCCAAUCAAAGUUUCUCCAAUGGUUUGAUUACCGGAUUGGUUGGCAUUUCAUCAAGUGAAUUCUGUGAAAUUAAAGAAAUAUUGGCAUCUGUAUCAAUCAAACAUUCCAACAUGAUCUCAUUAAUUAAAACCAUAGUGUGAUUUGAUUUGCUCACCAGACGUGAAAACAAAGUAUCAGGACCCUUACUUUCACCAGCCCCUGUAUGGUCCACAGCAGAAGCGGUUACUCUUUUGAUCCUGUCCAGAGCCCCUGCCUCUACCUCGAUAUUGCCCAUAUCCACCCCUUCUGUUGUUCUGAAAAUCAUUAAAGAAAGAUUGAUAAAAAGCAAAGCAGCGCGGAUUGGCGAAUUGUCCUGUUGACUGAUGCUGGGGCUUCUGUUUUCGGGACCUUCGUGUAAGACCUCUUGGCUUCCAGUGAACUUAUUCCGGUCAAAGACCAACCAAAAGAAAUAAAAACAUGAAGUGAACUUAAACAGCGUACACAUACGAAUGCUUGUGUCUCGUAAAGUGUUAUGCAUAGCAUGUAGUGCCCCCUGGAAGACAAAAACAAUUCGAAAAAGUGGAGAAUGGCUUGUUUUGAUUUGUUAUAUUCUUAUAAGAUGUUGUGAAAUGGCUUUUUUAAACGAAUUAGGACUCUUUGGCUAUUAUAACCGCUGGAUAAUACAUUGUUUGAGGUCGUUAAUAUUUGCAUUAUACUCGUUCAAAUGUUUCCUGUAUGUGAAAAAUGUGGAAAAGAGUUUGUCUAUUAUAGCUGCAGAAAAUGAAUAAAUUAUUAACUAGUUAUUUAAACUUAAAGUAUGACAAAAUACAUUUCUAACUUAUGAUAGAUGAAUUUCAGUAACGUUAUUUGGUGAUAAAGUUAUUUACGUCCGCAGUAUGAUUUCAUCUGAUCAGUUGUUCCAAGUGAAAGAUUGUGAUUGAUUUUAUCUAAAUAAGAUAAGGUAGAAACACAUCGUCAUCAUUCUUUUUAAUUAAAUUGUUAAAAUCUUUAAGCACAUAAAUGUACACUCAUGAAAAUAAAUGCACCUUGAG